GGAUGCGAAUAUGGGUUGCGUUUUCGUCUUUAGCCAGUUUCCAAAGUAUAGUUGGAGGGUUCACCUAUGAGAAUUUGAAUCAUGGAGGUGAACCAGCAGAUGUAGGAGGAGGAGGAGGGG